UUGGUCCCAGCUUGCCUACGUGAUUUACCGCGCCCGCCGGAGAAAUUUUUCGGCGGCUUUCUAUUUCUUUUCUUUUUUUAAAAAAAAAAAAUGUUAUUAUUUUUUAGGAAUGGUUUAAAAGCAGGACUUUCAAGGUUGACUCAGCCUUCCAUCCUUCCCGAGCUAUUGGCAUCGUCGGGAACUUGGCUAGUGGAAGAACCGCGCGAUGGAAAGGAAACUUCGGAAUGCGGAACCGCCGGCUCGGGAGUCUCCCUGCAACCUGGCACCUGCCUUUGCCCUGAGACUAAGGAAGCGGGGUUGCGAAGAGGGCUGCGAACAAGCCCGGUUGUUCAAGGAGGUUUGCUUUUUCCGCUUCCCCAGCCUGCCCUAGUUCUACUUUCAAAGAGAACUGUAAGUGAACCUUCCCACCCACCUUCAAUCAUUCCAAUGCUUAUCCUCCCAGUUGCAAAUAUGGAAGAAG